rnacentral:lncRNA from 1 species
UGAACUUUAAGGAUCCAAAAUAAUAUUAGAGUUUACUGAAGAAAAAAUGUGUUCUCUUCAGAGGCACUUGAGGUUAACUAGACUUUGGAAACAUAAAGAGGUUACAGCUGUUAUUCUGAGAGCUCAGAAGACACAGAACCCCUGAGCCACUUGGAUGAAUUUUCCUGCAAGCACUGAAAAGGCCAACUAAAGAGUUUUCAGGAACUUCAGGUUAUGGCUUUGGUCUAUGAAGUACCCAAUAGCAAUCCAGGAUAUGGUGAUGGCUGUGGAAGGAUGACAUUCAUCGGUGAAACAAGGAGAUGCAGAACGUGUAGAGCCAAAGCCUUUUGUAGUUGGAGACCACUUAAUUGAUGCUAGUGGGAAAUUUCACCUGCUGGAUAAGCUGCUGGCAUUCCUGCAUUCGAGGUAGGUAAUUGGUUU